GUCCUACGGGAGGCAGCAGUCGGGAAUAUUGCACAAUGGGGGAAACCCUGAUGCAGCGACGCCGCGUGAGUGAAGAAGUAUUUCGGUAUGUAAAGCUCUAUCAGCAGGGAAGAAGAUGACAGUACCUGAGUAAGAAGCCCCGGCUAACUACGUGCCAGCAGCCGCGGUAAUACGUAGGGGGCAAGCGUUAUCCGGAUUUACUGGGUGUAAAGGGAGCGUAGACGGCGGGGCAAGUCUGGAGUGAAAGGCCGGGGCCCAACCCCGGGACCGCUCUGGAAACUGCCCGGCUGGGGUGGGGGAGAGGG
rnacentral:rRNA from 1 species